GAUCUUUUGUCAUAAAUGGAAGAAUAAUGACUGAUCAAAUACUUGGUUAUACUUUAUCACUAAAAAGUAAUUUACUUUAUACUUACUGUACUUCUCUGUAUUUCACUAUACUUUAUUCAGUUUUACCUUGAUCAUCUAAACUCAGCUUUUUGGACACUGUUCUGAUUUUAUUCGGAUGUUGUGUGACGUUGGAAGCGCGCACUGCAUCACAUUUGUGGCGUGCAUAGAUGGGAGGAGGAUGGUGUUGAGUUCACCUGUCAUCAUCCAGCCCUGACCGAGGAUCAGCAGAGAAGGAAAAAAGGGCUUCAUGCAGAUUCAUCAGCUUUCCGUGCUCUCAAAGCUUUUAUUUGACAAGAAUCUCCUGCGUGACUUGAGGCAGAUGGCACGUUUCAAGCACACCGGAUCUCUGGAGGACUACCAUGCUUCAGUGCUGAAGUACACAGCUGGAAACCAUGGAUCAUACUGCCAACGUCAACAGACCACAGGCAAAAACAACGGAAGGAGAAUGUCGACACAGAUAUUCAUUCUGAAAACAAAGUGCAGAGUGGGUUGAAGGCCCAUCUAUGAACAUACCACGCAGACCUUCCGUAAUGAGCUCAUGGAGCGUGUCUUGAAGAGAAGAGAUGACACAACUGUUGUUUUCACAGAGCCUCUGCUCCGUCUCAAACCCCGCCGAACACUUCUUCGUAACAUUGCUCCUGCUCCGAGGCCUACACAAGCUGAUUUGCUCGCACGACAUAGUUCAAGGUUCAGACCUUACUAAAGAGGAUCCAAUAUUAUGUUGAGGACAUUAUUCUUUAUGCUGCUUUGUGUGUGUACCGGGUUGAAAAUAAAGAGAUUGGAAAACAGUAGUUCUAAAAAUAAUUUAUUUUAGAUGAUACAGUGAAGUAUAACAGAGAAAUGUAUGUGUGCAGAAUAAUUU